ensembl:lncRNA
GAAUUUGGAACCCAACAUAAAGUUCCUCAGUCUUUGGCAAGAAAACAAAUAACUGGAACCAGUGACAGGCUGUAGUAAAAGUCCACAUAAAGGGUAACAGCUUUCUGUUGCUACAGGUUCUUGCCUUGGCUUAGACAAAGAGAGGAAAGUGAUGUGAGGAUCAGCACCAGAAGUGGCUGUAUUUUAAGUACAGUUAAUAAAGUGCUCUAUGCAUUCUGCUAACAGAAUGGUAAUUUACAACAUCUGCUUUUCAAAGGCUUGAAAAUAAUAGAUUGUCUUUCCCCCCUCCCAGUCUCUAUCAAUCUGAUUGUGACAUAGUCCUUUAAUUACACAAACACCCACUACUUUUCCACAGGCCUCCAUGGAAAUGUAAAGAGCCAGACUGUAAAGAGCUCAGUAUGUGCAUUCAGCCAGCCUUCCCAUCUGCACAUCGUUACUUAUUGCCUCCUACUGGAAACUGAUCACUUCACAGCCAAAAGCUUUAAAACAGCAAACAUUACUAGAUCUGUUCUCCAGUUUGAUUUGAAAAAGGAUAUAUAUAAUAACCCUCUAAUUUACAUCACCGAGAAUGGGUUUUCCCAAAGUGACCCUGCUCUACUUGAUGACAGCCAAUGAUGGGAGUAUUUCAGGCUGAAUUUACAGGAAAUUUUAUAAGGUACCAUUUGAGAUGCUGAAAGAUCAAUUGUUCUAACAUUAUAUAAUUUUCCCUUGUGCUUAUUUGCAUUCAGCAAUGACCAGUGAUUCUUGAAG